CCGCAGGGAGACGAGCCAGCGCAGCCUGCCGGCCGGGCGCCCCUGACUCUCGUGAGUGACCCCGCUCUGAAUGUGCCGCUGGGAUAGCGCAGACCUGCCGGGGUUAGCCCGUUCGGGGCGGCAAAGGGCCACCUCGUCAGUGAGAGACCCGGCCCUCUCUGCCUCGACCGCCCGUGUAGUAGCCCAAACUCAGACUGCUCCCUGGCAGAAUUUCCUGUGCCACUACACCGGCGCUGCGGUUAGUGAGUCGCAAAGGAUGACAGCUGGAAAGAUCUACAAAAGAAAGACAGCGGGGGGAAGAUGAGCCCUGUCUGGAAAAGGGAUCUGGUCUCUGAAUAUGGUGUCUGAAGAUUUAAGCUGCAAGCAGGGUAGCUAACCUGCAUUCUGCCCAAAAGCAAUAUUUAGGCUGGGUGUGUCCCUACCUGUGUGUAUGCCAGAGAAAGCUUGAGGGCCUGGCAGAGCUAAUACAGGGUGAAGAAACCCAGGUUGGUGGAACUGGCAGAACGAAUGGGACCCUAGCACAUCAGGUGGCAUCCCAGAUGGGAGGUCCAACCUGUCACAGUGGGAUUGUUUCCAGCUUCUUCCUAUCAUAGGCACUGGUCAUCAGUUGUGUGCAGAAGUUCCUUUUCCCUCCUGCACAGUUGUGCAGUGCUGCACAGCACCUUUUACAUUGAUAUCAUGGAGGCAUCAGCUAGGCUCAUGCCCAGCAGAAAAUACAGCUUUGCAGCAUCACUCUGUGCUGUGACUACAGCACAGUGGGUUCCCCUGUAGCUUUUGGUCACUUGGCCUUAUGGUUUCCGUUCCCAGGAAGAGGCUACCUUUUCACCAACCUACCCAGAAGGGUUCUCCGUUGGCCCCCUUAAGGAGGACAGAAGAGGAAUUAGAAGGGAAAGGAGGAAAUACCAAGGAUGAAGGGUACCAGGGAGAGAUGAGAUAUUGAAUUGAGAGAAGAAACUAGCAUCUGUACACAAGGUUUUAGGGAUGACUGCAUAAGAAGCAGAGAAUGGAGAAGGAGACAUCUGAAAAACACACAAAUUCCUUUAAAAAUUAAAAAGGGAAAGAGAAACAGAAGGAACAAAUAAAUAAGGCAAUACUGAAGAGGAUACAGGUAUUUAGAAAAAACAGGGCUCAUAAGGGACUGGGUAUAAACUGCAUAGUUAACUAUAGUUAUAGUUCAAACGUAUAGAUCUUAAUCAGAAUAUGUAAAACAGUAUAAGAACCUCCAAGCUAGCUUUAGCUCGACAGUGUUAUUUACAUUUCAAUUUGAUAUAUCAUACAUCAUCAAUUUGAUGCAUUCAAUUUGAUGUAUCAUACACUUAUUGUAGUACAAAAAUUACCCAGCAUAGGAUCCAAGUGAUGGCAUUUUAAAAACAAAUAUACCUGGAAGCAGGUUUGGGCAAGCUAAUGUAUUCACAGGACGGCAUUAAUCCAUUUCAGCAUCAUCUUUAAUGUUCUCUUAUUUUAGAUGACCGUCCAGGUUCCCAGGAGAACAAUGGCAAAAAGAUAUUUAGAGUUCUGCAUAGUAUUUAAAUUCAGAGGGGCAUUGCAACCUAUUGGAAAUUCAGAUUAACUAGGAAUGACUAUUUGCAUCUGGCUGCAGAACAAUAGCUGCUACAUUAAGGACUAUUACACAUGUAUACCUGCCUCUUUAACAGAAGAAACUUUCAAAAAUUAUAUACUAGAUUUGCCACAAUAUUUUCUAGCCCAGUGUCGCACAGUUAAUACUUUCUUUUUUUACUGAUUUAGGAAGCACUCUGGACAUUUGUUUCUCCCAUCAGUGAAAACUGAAUAUAUUCAAAGACACAUUACUUACUUUUGUUUCUAGAAAAACUGUCUCUGACUUGAGUGGGAAAUAACAGGGGCUGGAAAAUUGCUUCACAUGGGAAAACCUACAAGAAAGCAACGCGAAAUAGAUUUGCCAACAGUGGAGGAAACAAGGGGUUCUGUCCAGAUGCUAAAAGCAGGGGGUCCUGUGCCUGAGCAAUGUCUCUGAGGGGCUGCUCUUUCUGCAGCAAUGGAGUCACUGUGCUAAAGAUUCCUCUAAUCACUUCUCUACGUUUUCCCUUAAUAGGGAUUCACAGUAUGGCAGGCUGGGGCAAGGACGUUAGUGCAGCUUCAGGAUACAUUAACAUUUUGGCAGAUUCCCCACAUUAUGGUUUGGUCAUGAGUUUGCCCCUCCCCACCAACAAAAAGUUUUCUAUGGUGUGAAGGGACAGUAACACAAAGGCCCCUCAAUCCCUUUACUUUCAGAAGGAUGGAGAUCCAGCAUGCGUGGAGGGGCUAUUAUGUGCACAGAUCCCAAGGAAUGAUUCUCUCCAUUAUAAUGUAUUACUCCUACUGCACCAUAUAUGUUCAUGACACUUCACAGACAAAUUCUAGAUCUCUGCCCCAAAGAUCUUAAUUUAAGUUAGAUAAUACAUAUGCAAAGAGCAGGGAAUUAGAAUACAGGCCAUCUGAUUACUUUAAUUCAGAUUAUGUAUGCACCUUGUAAUUCUAGGUGGGUUUUUUUGGUGGGGGUGGGAAAUGGGAACAGUAGAGAUGGAGUGUUAUUUUCAAAUGGUGCUCAGGGGCAACAAUGGUCAUAGUAUAACACAUUUCAUUCUAUUUGGGUUCUUAGUGGAAGGCUAUAAAAAGUGUUUGUGGGGGCUGAGGACUUUCUCAAAGUAAGGGGGGUUGAGUGCACAAAAUGAUGUUUUCUAGCAUAGGGGAGGGGUGUAAAAACAAGAAAGUACAAGUAAAAGAAGGAAAUUAAGGGCAUGAAUGAUCUCAGUCACUUCAGAAGGCUAAAUCAGGAAAUGCUAUUGUUUUCAAUUGGAGGAGUUUGUGCGUUAUAAAUCUGCCUCUUGGUGACACACGCCAUAUUAUGCUCUACUGGGUGGUUUAGAGGAAUGAAAAUAGGUCAAACAGGUGCUACUAGUUGAUACAAUAGUUUGAAAUGCCUGAGGGCUUCCCAUGAGCAAUAGCAAAACUUCACAGAAAUCUAGGUGAGAAUGAAUAUCUUGCAAAAAAGUUUCUAAUUUUGGAAAAACCCUCUGAAAUAGGUACAUGAAUACAGUUACAGCUAAAAAUCCCAUUUCAACCAUGUUGAUAUAAAAUUCCAUUUUAUAUACAUUCUCUUUUUUAAUAUCAACUCGUCUCCUACAAAAGAAAUUAAUUAGAAACAGAAUAAGUUUAUCUCCCUCCCUUAAAAAAUAUAUAUAUAAAAAACAUUUUAUAAAACUAAUUUGACCCUGCU